AGUGAACGCUGGCGGCGUGCUUAACACAUGCAAGUCGAACGAGAACGGAUUAUAGCUUGCUAUAAUUGUCAGCUAAGUGGCGCACGGGUGAGUAAUGUAUAGGUAAUAUGCCUCUUACUAAGGGAUAACAAAUGGAAACGUUUGCUAAUACCUUAUACUCCUUAUUAACAGAAGUUAAUAAGGGAAAGAUUUAUUGGUAAGAGAUUAGCCUGUAUUGUAUCAGUUAGUUGGUGGGGUAAUGGCUUACCAAGACUAUGACACAUAACUGGUUUGAGAGGAUGAUCAGUCACACUGGAACUGAGACACGGUCCAGACUCCUACGGGAGGCAGCAGUGGGGAAUAUUGCACAAUGGACGAAAGUCUGAUGCAGCAACGCCGCGUGGAGGAUGACACAUUUCGGUGCGUAAACUCCUUUUAUAUGAGAAGAUAAUGACGGUAUUAUAUGAAUAAGACACCGGCUAACUCCGUGCCAGCAGCCGCGGUAAA
rnacentral:rRNA from 1 species